AAUCUGAAAACUAACAUCUCAUAAGAAAAAGGCAGUUGCCUGACUAGUUGAGUAUGCAACUAAUACUACAAUAUUUAGUUGUGAGAUGGUAGUUUACAACUAGCACAUUUUCUACAGCGUACAUAAAAGUAUGAACAAUAAUAUACACAUAUCUGGUUGCUCAAACUCGUUUGCAGUGGAAUCAAUAAAAAGGAUAUAAAAUUAAUUGUAAUGAAAAUUGGCAUCCCAAACUCAGAAGCAUCGUGCUAUCCUAAGGAUACUUAUGCAAGUGUAAACUUAGAGCCUAGUGGUCAUUGGAAGCCGAGCAAUGGACUUUCAAAAGUACAACUUCGAUGUGAAAAUGCAAAUAUAUGCCGGUGAAUAGAUGUGAUGAAAGUGGGCGUUUACGUUUGUUCAUUUCGCAUUGAAUGUAUCCACAAUUUUUUCGAUUGAACAGGUAAUAUACCAUUUGUAUGUAUGUUUAUGUGACAUACAGUACAGACACAUAUAAUUUUUCAUGCAAUUUAUGGUCGUAGAGAAUGCGAAACUUU